GAUGAAGAACGCAGCGAAAUGCGAUAAGUAGUGUGAAUUGCAGAAUUCAGUGAAUCAUCGAAUCUUUGAACGCACAUUGCGCCCUUUGGUAUUCCUUAGGGCAUGCCUGUUCGAGCGUCAUUUAAACCUUCAAGCUAAGCUUGGUGUUGGGUGACUGUCCGCUUCACGGCGGACUCGCCUCAAAAUUAUUGGCGGCCGGUACAUUGGCUUCGAGCGCAGCAGAAACGCGAACUCGGGCCCGUCGUAUUGGCUCCCAGAAGCUAUCUUCACAAUUUUGACCUCGCAUCAGGUAGGGAUACCCGCUGAACUUAAGCAUAUCAAUAAGCGGAGGA
rnacentral:misc_RNA from 1 species